GUAGGGAAUAUUGGACAAUGGGGGGAACCCUGAUCCAGCCAUGCCGCGUGGAGGAAGACUGCCCUCUGGGUUGUAAACUCCUUUUAUAUGGGAAGAACCGUCCUCAUUAAUGAGUGACCUGACGGUACCAUAGGCAUAAGCACCGGCUAACUCCGUGCCAGCAGCCGCGGUAAUACGGAGGGUGCAACCGUUAUCCGGAUUCACUGUGUUUAAAGGGUGCGUAGGCGGAUAAAUAAGUCAGUGGUGACAUCAACGUGCUCAACCUGUUAACUGCCAGUGAUACUGUGUAGCUUGAAUAGUAGAGAGGUAGGCGGAAUGUUGCAUGUAGCGGUGAAAUGCUUAGAUAUGCUACGGAACACCGAUUGCGAAGGCAGCUUACUAUUUCGUAAUUGACGCUGAGGCACGAAAGCGUGGGUAGCGAACAGGAUUAGAAACCCCGGUAGUCC
rnacentral:rRNA from 1 species